CGCCUCCUACACAUACAUACACACACACCUCCUACACAUACAUACACACACGCCUCCUACACAUACAUACACACAGCCUACACAUACAUACACACACGCCUCCUACACAUACAUACACACACGCCUCCUACACAUACAUACACACAGCCUACACAUGCAUACACACAUGCCUCCUACACAUACAUACACACACGCCUCCUUCAGAGCGCACGACGAGACGUGGCCGGUAGCAGUCAGUCAAACGAGGGUAAUAUCCCGUGUGAGCCAGCGCACGGGCAUACAGAGCGAGAGGAGGGCACCCGUCCCGGACACUUUACAUUAGGCUGGCUGCCUCCUGUGUUACAAAUUCAUAUAUGAAGAAAAGCAAUCAGGUGGUCCUGAAUGGAAAUUUGUAGAAUUUCUUUACAACUGCGAAAAGGCGAAUAUAAAACGAGAGUACUGGUGAGACAGACGGUUGUGAGGCUGAGGCAGGCUGUGAUGCAUGGAGGAGGAGGCAGAGGAGACAGAGAGAGACAGGUUAGUACAGUGGUUUUUAUUUUUUUUAUUUCACCUUUAUUUAACCAGGUAGGCUAGUUGAGAACAAGUUCUCAUUUGCAACUGCGACCUGGCCAAGAUAAAGCAUAGCAGUGUGAGCAUACAACAAAGAGUUACACAUGGAGUAAACAAUUAACAAGUCAAUAACACAGUAGAAAACAAAGGGGGGGUCUAUAUACAAUGUGUGCAAAAGGCAUGAGGAGGUAGGCAAAUAAUUACAAUUUUGCAGAUUAACACUGGAGUGAUAAAUGAUCAGAUGGUCAUGUACAGGUAGAGAUAUUGGUGUGCAAAAGAGCAAAAAAGUAAAUAAAUAAAAACAGUAUGGGGAUGAGGUAGGUGAAAAUGGGUGGGCUAUUUACCAAUAGACUAUGUACAGCUGCAGCGAUCGGUUAGCUGCUCAGAUAGCUGAUGUUUGAAGUUGGUGAGGGAGAUAAAAGUCUCCAACUUCAGCGAUUUUUGCAAUUCGUUCCAGUCACAGGCAGCAGAGUACUGGAACGAAAGGCGGCCAAAUGAGGUGUUGGCUUUAGGGAUGAUCAGUGAGAUACACCUGCUGGAGCGCGUGCUACGGGUGGGUGUUGCCAUCGUGACCAGUGAGCUGAGAUAAGGCGGAGCUUUACCUAGCAUGGACUUGUAGAUGACCUGAGCCAGUGGGUCUGGAGACGAAUAUGUAGCGAGGGCCAGCCGACUAGAGCAUACAAGUCACAGUGGUGGGUGGUAUAAGGUGCUUUAGUGACAAAACGGAUGGCACUGUGAUAGACUGCAUCCAGUUUGCUGAGUAGAGUGUUGGAAGCCAUUUUGUAGAUGACAUCGCCGAAGUCGAGGAUCGGUAGGAUAGUCAGUUUUACUAGGGUAAGCUUGGCGGCGUGAGUGAAGGAGGCUUUGUUGCGGAAUAGAAAGCCAACUCGUUUAAGAGCAGUUGGAGGCCACGGAAGGAGUGUUGUAUGGCAUUGAAGCUUGUUUGGAGGUUAGAUAGCACAGUGUCCAAAGACGGGCCGAAAGUAUAUAGAAUGGUGUCGUCUGCGUAGAGGUGGAUCAGGGAAUCGCCCGCAGCAAGAGCAACAUCAUUGAUAUACACAGAGAAAAGAGUCGGCCCGAGAAUUGAACCCUGUGGCACCUCCAUAGAGACUGCCAGAGGACCGGACAGCAUGCCCUCCGAUUUGACACACUGAACUCUGUCUGCAAAGUAAUUGGUGAACCAGGCAAGGCAGUCAUCCGAAAAACCGAGGCUACUGAGUCUGCCGAUAAGAAUAUGGUGAUUGACAGAGUCGAAAGCCUUGGCAAGGUCGAUGAAGACGGCUGCACAGUACUGUCUUUUAUCGAUGGCGGUUAUGAUAUCGUUUAGUACCUUGAGUGUGGCUGAGGUGCACCCAUGACCGGCUCGGAAACCGGAUUGCACAGCGGAGAAGGUACGGUGGGAUUCGAGAUGGUCAGUGACCUGUUUGUUGACUUGGCUUUCGAAGACCUUAGAUAGGCAGGGCAGGAUGGAUAUAGGUCUGUAACAGUUUGGGUCCAGGGUGU
rnacentral:lncRNA from 1 species